UGUUCGUUAUUUAGGGCGCAUGGUGGAUGCCUUGGCAUGCUGAGCCGAUGAAGGACGUGAAAGGCUGCGUUAAGCCUCGGGGAGUUGUCAAUUGAGCGUUGAUCCGAGGAUGUCCGAAUGGGGAAACCUGGCACCUGUUAUGGGGUGUUACCCUUCAGUGAAUUCAUAGCUGUUGUGGGGGUUACGCGGGGAAGUGAAACAUCUCAGUACCCGUAGGAAGAGAAAAUAAUAAUGAUUCUGCUAGUAGUGGCGAACGAACGUGGAUGAGGCUAAACCGUGUGCAUGUGAUACCUGGUAGGGGUUGUGUGUGCGGUGUUGUGGGCCCUGAUGAGGAUGGCUACUGACGUCCUGCCCGCGCAUUGUUGUUAGGUGAAGUGGUGUGGAAACGCCUGCCGUAGAAGGUGAUAGUCCUGUAGCUGAAGAUGAUGGUGUGUGGGUUGUUGGGUUGCCCGAGUAGCAGCGGGCUCGUGGAAUCUGCUGUGAAUCUGCCGGGACCACCCGGUAAGCCUAAAUACUCAGUGUGACCGAUAGUGGAUAGUACCGUGAGGGAAUGGUGAAAAGUACCCCGGGAGGGGAGUGAAAUAGUUCCUGAAACCAUGUGCUU
rnacentral:rRNA from 1 species